UACGUAGGGUGCGAGCGUUAAUCGGAAUUACUGGGCGUAAAGCGUGCGUAGGCGGUUCGUUAAGUUCGUUGUGAAAGCCCCGGGCUCAACCUGGGAACUGCAAUGGAAACUGGCGGGCUUGAGUGUGGCAGAGGGGGGUGGAAUUCCGCGUGUAGCAGUGAAAUGCGUAGAUAUGCGGAGGAACACCGAUGGCGAAGGCAAUCCCCUGGGCCAAUACUGACGCUCAUGCACGAAAGCGUGGGGAGCAAACAGG
rnacentral:rRNA from 1 species